rnacentral:rRNA from 1 species
GACGAACGCUGGCGGCGUGCUUAACACAUGCAAGUCGAACGGAAAGGCCCUGCUUUUGUGGGGUGCUCGAGUGGCGAACGGGUGAGUAACACGUGAGUAACCUGCCCUUGACUUUGGGAUAACUUCAGGAAACUGGGGCUAAUACCGGAUAGGAGCUCCUGCUGCAUGGUGGGGGUUGGAAAGUUUCGGCGGUUGGGGAUGGACUCGCGGCUUAUCAGCUUGUUGGUGGGGUAGUGGCUUACCAAGGCUUUGACGGGUAGCCGGCCUGAGAGGGUGACCGGCAAAUUGGGGAGGGAGAUCGGCCCAGGCCCCCUGCGGGGGGCGGGGGGGGGGAAUAGGGCAAAGGGGGGGGAGCCCUGACCCAGCACCGCCGCGGGGGGGAUGGCGGCCUUGGGGUUGUAACCCGUUUGCGCCGGUGAGGAAGGGGGAGUGAGGGUAGUGGAAAAAAAAGCCCGGGCAAACUACGGG